UACGGAGGGUGCAAGCGUUAAUCGGAAUUACUGGGCGUAGAGGGUGUGUAGGUGGUUUGGUAAGUUAUCUGUGAAAUCCCUGGGCUUAACCUGGGCAGGUCAGAUAAGACUGCGAGACUUGAGUAUGGGAGAGGGUAGUGGAAUUUCCGGUGUAGCGGUGAAAUGCGUAGAGAUCGGAAGGAACACCAGUGGCGAAGGCGGCUACCUGGCCUAAUACUGACACUGAGACACGAAAGCGUGGGGAGCAAACAGG
rnacentral:rRNA from 1 species